rnacentral:lncRNA from 1 species
CGAAAUUUUGUUUGACAGAAUAGGAUUAUUCCGCUUCAAAUGGUUAGGUUACCACGUGAAAUAAGUGAAUAUUUCUAUUGGGUUUGGGAGAUUUUCCUCUUUUGUCGUUUGCAUCUUUCCGUCUCCACCUUGCCCACCAGUCUCUUCUUUAGACUUGUCUUUCUUUUUUCUAAUGAAAGUAUUUGGAAACCCGCAAUAUUAACAUGGGUUUGGGUAAUAGUAAAUCCUAAAUCAAGGAAAUGCACUAGUUAGUGAUUUGAAUGUUUGAUCAACUAAAGAAUAACCUUCCCGAUGGAUUGUCCCAUACUGAGAGGAAAUUUUACAAAUUCUUGAAAAUUUGUCUAUAUGUAUUUGAAAAAAUUUGACAUAUCUAUUAGGCACUGUCAUAUUUGGUUUAGAAAUGAAAGAAAAUAAACAUGUUAUUGGGUGUACUCAUACAGAAUUAUACAAUUUGGAGUUUUUAUUUUUUUAUUUAUUUUUUCACCGAUAAGACUCUUGUAUGAAGACGUACAACAUAUAAAAUCCAAUCCUUGACUCCUUUAACUUCUACAACCUAAUUCUUUCAACCUGGUUAAUUGAUUGUUCCUCUGCACUUCUUUUUCCUCAGCAAAAAUAACAUAUUAGCACUGCAAAUAAUUGUGUAAUUGACUGUAGGAUUUUUAUAUGUUUUUUGAUGGCUCAAAGUUCUGCAUUUUUUUUGGGUAAGAUAGUACAUUGGUUUGAAAUUUAUUUCAAAAUUUGAUUGCAGACUCUUCUCAAUCCCCUUUAUCUACCUGGAAGUCGUAUUACAUCAUCUCAUUUUGACACAAAAGUUCGAGCUCUUGCCAGAAAAUAUUUGUGAAGCAAUCAUUUGAUUUGAUGGUGUCUGGAGCUUGCUGUUAUUUUUCUGCCAGCUGUGCUAUGUUAUCGUGUUAAUUGGCUGCCAGUGUUGCUAUGUUAUCAGGACAUUUUGUUUCAGUCAAAGUACACUUUUCAUGCAUGUCAAGAGGGGUUUAUCUAUUUUUUGAUAUAUUUUAUUGACUAAUUGUAGCUUAGAUCUUUUAUAGCUUCAUUUAGUUAUGGUUCUUCUUUUUAUCCUGUUUAAUCUCAGUUCAUGAAUAUUUGUUCAAAAGCUUUAGUGCAGUUCACUUUUUCUUUCAUCGUUAUCUAUCAACAUGCACAUAGAACAAUUCUUUUUUAUGUGCACUUCCAAUUACCAUCAGAUCUGAUUGAACUGCGUACCACCUCAGGCCAACUGGGUUUCAUACAUCUGGAACUUGGUUUUGAAGAAAAUGGUUAAAGUUCCUAUGGUCAUAAAUAGCUUAUGGGAUGAAUCAUUUUUUGUUUUCUCAAUAGUUCUGAAUUGCCUCUGAUCAUUAUAUGUCAUGUAUGAUGUGCGUUAGAAAAAAAUUCCAGUCUAAGGUCUCAUGUCUGGUUGUAGUUUGCCAAUUAUAUUUUAAAUUUUUUUUAAUUUCAACUUGUUUUCUAAAUAAUCUAUAAGACUAGACAUUUAUAUGUAUUAGGCCUUGUCCUUGAAUGAGGACCAUAUAGUUGGUGUGGCUGCUGCAGCAAGGAAAUUUUUGAAUAAAUGCACUGCACACCAAGGUAG